rnacentral:lncRNA from 1 species
GCGCGGUGGCUCAUGCCUGUAAUCCCAGCACUUUGGGAGGCCGAGGUGGGUGGAUCACGAGGUCACGAGAUCGAGACCAGCCUGAUCAACAUGGUGAAACCCCGUCUCUACUAAAAAUAGAAAAAUUAGCUGGGCGUGGUGGCACAUGCCUGUAAUCCCAGCCACUCGGAAGGCUGAGGCAGGAGAAUUGCUUGAACCUGGGAAGCGGAGGUUGCAGUGAGCCGAGAUCGCGCCACUGCACUCCAGCCUGGUGACGGAGCGAGACUCCAUCUCAAAAAAAAAAAAAA